rnacentral:rRNA from 1 species
AAAUUGAAGAGUUUGAUCAUGGCUCAGAUUGAACGCUGGCGGCAGGCCUAACACAUGCAAGUCGAACGGUAACAGGAAGCAGCUUGCUGCUUCGCUGACGAGUGGCGGACGGGUGAGUAAUGUCUGGGAAACUGCCUGAUGGAGGGGGAUAACUACUGGAAACGGUGGCUAAUACCGCAUAACGUCGCAAGACCAAAGAGGGGGACCUUCGGGCCUCUUGCCAUCAGAUGUGCCCAGAUGGGAUUAGCUAGUUGGUGAGGUAACGGCUCACCAAGGCGACGAUCCCUAGCUGGUCUGAGAGGAUGACCAGCCACACUGGAACUGAGACACGGUCCAGACUCCUACGGGAGGCAGCAGUGGGGAAUAUUGCACAAUGGGCGCAAGCCUGAUGCAGCCAUGCCGCGUGUAUGAAGAAGGCCUUCGGGUUGUAAAGUACUUUCAGCGGGGAGGAAGGUGUUGUGGUUAAUAACCGCAGCAAUUGACGUUACCCGCAGAAGAAGCACCGGCUAACUCCGUGCCAGCAGCCGCGGUAAUACGGAGGGUGCAAGCGUUAAUCGGAAUUACUGGGCGUAAAGCGCACGCAGGCGGUCUGUCAAGUCGGAUGUGAAAUCCCCGGGCUCAACCUGGGAACUGCAUUCGAAACUGGCAGGCUUGAGUCUUGUAGAGGGGGGUAGAAUUCCAGGUGUAGCGGUGAAAUGCGUAGAGAUCUGGAGGAAUACCGGUGGCGAAGGCGGCCCCCUGGACAAAGACUGACGCUCAGGUGCGAAAGCGUGGGGAGCAAACAGGAUUAGAUACCCUGGUAGUCCACGCCGUAAACGAUGUCUACUUGGAGGUUGUGCCCUUGAGGCGUGGCUUCCGGAGCUAACGCGUUAAGUAGACCGCCUGGGGAGUACGGCCGCAAGGUUAAAACUCAAAUGAAUUGACGGGGGCCCGCACAAGCGGUGGAGCAUGUGGUUUAAUUCGAUGCAACGCGAAGAACCUUACCUGGUCUUGACAUCCACAGAACUUUCCAGAGAUGGAUUGGUGCCUUCGGGAACUGUGAGACAGGUGCUGCAUGGCUGUCGUCAGCUCGUGUUGUGAAAUGUUGGGUUAAGUCCCGCAACGAGCGCAACCCUUAUCCUUUGUUGCCAGCGGUUAGGCCGGGAACUCAAAGGAGACUGCCAGUGAUAAACUGGAGGAAGGUGGGGAUGACGUCAAGUCAUCAUGGCCCUUACGACCAGGGCUACACACGUGCUACAAUGGCGCAUACAAAGAGAAGCGACCUCGCGAGAGCAAGCGGACCUCAUAAAGUGCGUCGUAGUCCGGAUUGGAGUCUGCAACUCGACUCCAUGAAGUCGGAAUCGCUAGUAAUCGUGGAUCAGAAUGACACGGUGAAUACGUUCCCGGGCCUUGUACACACCGCCCGUCACACCAUGGGAGUGGGUUGCAAAAGAAGUAGGUAGCUUAACCUUCGGGAGGGCGCUUACCACUUUGUGAUUCAUGACUGGGGUGAAGUCGUAACAAGGUAACCGUAGGGGAACCUGCGGUUGGAUCACCUCCUUA